ACGACUUUCUCAUCAUGGAGAAGCUUCAGAUGCUUCUCCACAAUCCUGGUACUGGUUGAAAUGAGAGUUCUCUCCGGCUGUUGUGCUUCUAGCGUCGUUUGAGGCUACCUGGCUGUCUUGUCAACGUUAAAUAUUUUUGUAGAUGAGGAGAAAACACCAUAAGUGUCCGGGGCCCAAGAAUGUUGAACAGCCUUCCACCAGCCAUAAGGGGAAUUACCAAUAGGCCUCUGGCUGCCUUCAGGAUGGAGCUGGACAUAUACUUAAAGUCGGUGCCGGAUCAGCCGGGCUGUGGUUCGUACGUUGAACUACGUGCGGCCAGCAUUAACAGCCUGGUUGAUCAGGUCCUGAUCCACAGGGAGGCCUGGUCGUGAACCGGGCCGCGGGGACGUUUGAUCCCCGGAAUACUGUCCAGAUAUACUCCAGCUUGGAUGACAGAGAGGGUCACCUGCCAAUCAACGAGUAGAACUGAAGGAGACAGACUAACGUUCUGAGACGUCCCAAAUUUUUGAUCCACUUACCUGUUUGUGUAUGCAAGUAGCAGGAUAUAACCCCUCAUCAAUGCAGUGGAAAAAAACUUGUUUUCCUGUCAUCUGGACGGAUUAUUGACGGCUAGAAAAUCUGUGAAGAACGAGCCGGUGGGUUGUCAUCAACACCUGCGACCCCCCCCCCCCCCAUCAUCGGCAACGGCUACGAUUUCAACAACACGCAGUGUCACCAACACCAGACACCCAAGUUUUAUAUAUACAUAUUAGCGUUGAAUUCAGAUAUUUAUAUUUUUCAUUUUCAUUUUCUUUAAGGUAGGAUUAAUAUUUCAUAUUUAAGUGUUUUAUAUUUUAUAUUUUCUAAAUAAUAAAUUGUUUAUGUUUGUCAG